AAGAUAAUAAUAAUAAUGCUGUCCAAUGAGCAGCUCGAAGUAGCUCGAAGUUGUUCCCGUCCUGCUUGUUCUUUUUUGUCAACAAAUGGGCAUGAGCAGGACAGGGAGAAACUUCGAGCUACUUCAAGCUCUCAUUGGACAGCACUAAUAUAACGUUAAUGAGGCUUUCUGUUUGACGCGAGAUUUGACGGCAACCGGAGAAGGCAAUCCUGAAGCAGGCUGAAGCAGGCCACGAACAUUGGGAGUCAUUUUUUUUUUCUGCUCGGCUACGCAGUGUGCAAAUUGGAACAAAGGCAAGAACAAUGGUUCGGAACAAUGCAACCAGCGAAAAACAUUUCGCCAGGAAUCUCUACUUCAAUUCGAAUCGAUUGGACGAUUGCCCUCGAGGAGGAAGAAAAUCAGCGUCCAAGAGAAUUAAAGGCCAGUCUGAUAGUAGUCGCAGCUCUACAAAGUGGAAGCAGUAUUUCCCUGAUGGUGUAUGGCGGUUGAAUGCGGGGACAGUUCUGAGGAGGUGCUAAAAUCGAUUCAUCACUGCUGCAUGCUUUUUUACGCUUAUUGCCGAAUUAUGCAUCACAAAGAGUGGAUAGUGAAUGAUCGUUAACAUCCUUGGGAGGAAGACCGUUUUGCGGCCGUGGAGGAUUCCGCGGACGUGGUGGUUUCCGUGGCGGUUUACAUCGUGAUGGCCCACCGCACCACGGGGACAAUGAUGAAUGGCGUCGAUCAGGAGCCGAUGGCGAAUAUGAUUUACGUCGUCGUUCUGGAUCACGUGAACCAGGAAUCGAUAGAUCUCGCUCCCGUUCACCGAGGCGACGCAGUCCGGCUGAUUCUGAUUCGUCUUCUUGUAGGAAUGGCAUGUUAUCGAAUGCAAGAACGUUACCAGAAGAAGAUGUGCAGAAGCGCAUAUCGACGUCAUCGUCGCACGCAAUCUUCCUCGGCCUGCCGGGAUCGACGUCAUCGGUGGCAUCGUCGGAUGAUGCCAGCGUUCAGACGCGUCCACUGCGUAAUCUCGUGUCCUACCUGAAGCAGAAAGAAGCGGCCGGCGUUAUUUCCUUGUUCAAUAAAGAAACGGAAGCAACCGGUGUGCUCUACUCAUUCCCGCCAUGCGAUUUUUCGACAGAAUUGUUGAAACGAACAUGUCACAACCUCACUGAAGGAAGACCAUCUGGUAAUCGUGGUGGUCCGAGGAGGUGCCUUCUUUCUGGUAUUGCAGCAACUAGUCCAUAUUGGCACAGCAUACAACAUGGCUGGUCUAAAAAUUUGUUUGUAAAUCAAAAGUUUGUUCUUAAGACAAAGUUUUGAUUUUCUGUUUAUAAGUGGAUCUUAAUAUAUUUGUUACAUUUGGCUUGAAGGCCUUCAAUGUGAUUUUUAAAAGUUAAUUUUUGAUCUAGCAGAAGUCCUAAAUAUUUAGAAUUCUGAUAGUUUACCUGCAGUGAGCGAUCUGAUAAAUAAUUUUGGAUCAGUUUAAUAGCUGGUUGGUUGUUUGCUCAUUGUUUGUUGAUUGCUUCAUUGUUGGUUGAUUGAUUGGUUAUUUAGUUGAUUGGUUGCUUGAUUGGUUGGUUGGUUGAUUGUUGGUUGGUAGAAUGAUUAAUUGGUUGGUUGCUGCUUGAUUUGUUAGUUGGUAGAACUGUUGAAUGGUUGGUUGCUUCACAGUUGGUUGGUUGCUUGAUUGGUUGGUUAUUUGGUUGAUUGGUUGUUUGACUGGUUGAUUGAUUGGUUGGUCGGCUGGUUAGUUGAUUAGUUGUUUUGUUGGUUGCUUGAAUGGCUGAUUGUUUGGUUGCUUGAUUGGUUGAUUGGUAACUUGCUGGAAUGGUUGAUUAGUUAAUUAUUCAGUUGAUUGAUUGCUUGAUUGGUUGGUUGAUUAGUUGAUUGCUUGAUUAGUUGGUUGGUUGAUUGUUGGUCGGCUGCUUGAUGGGUUGAUUAGUUGUUUUGUUGAUUGCUUGAUUGGUAGAUUAGUUGGUUGGUUGCUUGAUUUGUUAGUUGGUAGAAUGAUUGAUUGAUUGGUUGGUUGCUGCUUGAUUUGUUAGUUGGUAGAACUGUUGAAUGGUUGAUAGUUGGUUGGUUGCCUGACUGGUUGAUUGAUUGUUGGUCGGCUGGUUAGUUGAUUAGUUGAUUUGUUAUUUGGUUGAUUGGUUGGUUAUUUGAUUGAUAGGUUGCUUGACUGGUUGGUUGAUUGGUUACUUGAUUAGUUGGUCGGCUGGUUAGUUGAUUAGUUGUUUUGUUGGUUGCUUGGAUGGCUAAUUGGUUGGUUGCUUGAUUGAUUGAUUAGUUGGUUGGUUGCUUGAUUGGUUGGUUGGUUGAUUGUUGGUUGGUAGAAUGAUUAAUUGGUUGGUUGCUGCUUGAUUUAUUAGUUGGUAGAACUGUUGAAUGGUUGGUUGCUUCACAGUCGGUUGGUUGCUUGAUUGGUUGGUUAUUUGGUUGAUUG